CUAAUGUCUAUGUUCCAGCAUAGAGACUCCAAUUUAAUAAGGCUUCGGUGCAGUCUGGGCAUCAAGACUUUUUAAAUUUCCCAGGAGAUUGUAAUAUGCACCAUGUCUGAGAAACUCUGCCCUGUAUCACCUGCCACUACACAGAGAAGGGAGGUGCUCCUGGAGCUGGCCCAGAUUAACCCCGCAGAGCCCAGAGAGGAGAGCAGAGAUCAGAGGAAGAGCGCCUCUGCAGAUGGAGAAACCGAGGCAGGAAAACCUCCACGACAUCUCCAGAGUUGAAGGGUGCAGGACGCUGAGAAGUGGGUGGGGACUUUUUCUUGGUUCCAGUCCCAGCUAUGCAGACGGCUGGCUGUGUGGCCUUGGGUAAGUCACUGCACCUGUGACUCAGUUUCCCAAAUGUAAAAUGGAGCUCCUGCUGUCACCUGGAAAGGCUAUUGUGAAAACAGAUGGCAGGUGAGCAUGCUCCUGGCUCAGGGUAUGUGAGUGUGGAUUUGGGGAGUUGGGGGGUUGCUGAAGCCAACUGGGCUUGUGGGAGGACAUCAGGACAGACACCUUUGGAAGGCAGGGGCUGGGCAAUCAGGAAGCUUUAAAUGGCAGCCAACCUUGACUCCCUGGCCUGGAGGCUGUCAGGCAACAUUAGUUGACCUCCCUUUUCCUGCUCCCCAGCAGAGACCACUCAAGAGCAGAGGGGUUGUGAUGGGCGGCCAGGGGGCACCCUCACAGAGCCAGCAGGCAGAUUCAGCAGACAGCAGGGGUGUCUCCCCAAACCUGCUUGUGCUACACACCAGGUGGGUCCUCUUGAAUUUCUUUGCCCCAUAGUGCUGUUGUGGGCUGAUUUUAUUGCAGACCUGCUGGUGCACGCUGGACACCCAAAGAGUCUAAUAGUGACACCUUUGGAAACCCCACAACGUUUGUAUAUGAGUGCAACCUGCCUCCCUUGUCUGCCUGGGAGGUCCUGAGGUCUGAGGUGUGUCCUCUCCCUAUCAGAUUGAGGGUCCCCAGAGAAUAGAUCCUCCCCCACUCACUGAUUUGCUCACUCAGCAUUCAUUGAAAACUUACUGUAUGCCUGGCACUGCACCAAGCACUGGGCAGAACCAAAGAUGGAAACAAAAUGGGUCUCUCCUUUGAGGGCAUCCAGGCCGGCCAUCCCUGGGGCUAAUAAUAGUAACAACAACAGCAGCAGCGGCG
rnacentral:lncRNA from 10 species